rnacentral:lncRNA from 1 species
CAGGUUCCCAGGUAUCUUCUCGUCAGUCCACAAGCAACGUCAGACAAGUGUUUCUUCACCCAAAGACCCCCACCCUGCAGGGCUGCCCAGGCCCAUCUCUCCUGACAGCCUGGAGAUCAUCAGUGAGCUUCAGCAGUGGGCAGAUGUGGCUGCUGCCUGGGAAUCCCAUCAGAGUUCCCCAAGUACCAAUGCUGCCCUGCCUGGCCCCCGGCCCACCUUGUGGACUGCACUGCUGUUCCCGGGACAGCUCUCAGAGCUGAGCCUGGACUCGGUGGUCAUUGCCUCCAUAGUUCCCUCUGGGUGACUGGCAGUUCUGUGGUCAUAGGCACCCAGUGCUGGACUGAAGGGGCCACAAGUGGAAGUUGACCAUACCAUCUUCUCCCAGGAGUCAGCCUGCUGGUGGUCCAGCAAGGGCCAUCUGCCAGCCCCUGUGCAGCUGCAUGAAUACAGGUGUCCAGUCUCUGGAGGGUUUGCCAAGCCACCUGUCUCCUUACAUCAUAACCUCACCACCCCUUCACCUCCUAAGCUGGGGACAACACUCUGUUUAUGGGCAGUGCCCCCUCUUACUGCCAGCUACCCAAUUUGCUGGCAGGUGCCCACCUGGUGUUUCCAGUGACUACUGACCCUCUGAUGCCAGCCAGCAGGCCCUGUCCAUUCCUCUUCUAAGCUACUUCCAUCACUGCCAGCAGCCCCUCCUUCAUGCUCAGCCCUUCUGUGCCAGGGAAACCACCCAGCUCUCCACUUCCAUUCUCACAGCGACUCCUGACUGAGCUGAGGAUGUUUGCACCUUUUCCUUCCCCUGUCGUGCCAAGCAACCUUUCAUGGGGCAUGUCUAUCUACCCAGGCUACAUGUCCCCAUGGGCAGGCUACCCAGCUGGUGGCCUCCUUCCAUUCCAGGUGCCUCUAUUUCACUCUCAUGAGGUUGCUGAAGUGGGGUUCAGCUCCAGUGAUGAUGAGAAUAGGGACGAUGAUGUGAUAGAGGUCACUGGGAAAUAG